rnacentral:rRNA from 1 species
UUAGCUAGUUGGUGAGGUAACAGCUCACCAAGGCGACGAUCAGUAGCCGGCCUGAGAGGGUGAACGGCCACACUGGAACUGAGACACGGUCCAGACUCCUACGGGAGGCAGCAGUGGGGAAUAUUGCACAAUGGAGGGAACUCUGAUGCAGCGACGCCGCGUGAGUGAAGAAGGUCUUCGGAUCGUAAAACUCUGUCCUUGGUGAAGAUAAUGACGGUAGCCAAGGAGGAAGCCCCGGCUAACUACGUGCCAGCAGCCGCGGUAAUACGUAGGGGGCUAGCGUUGUCCGGAUUUACUGGGCGUAAAGGGUGAGUAGGCGGUUAUGUAUGUCAGAUGUAAAAGGCGCGGGCUUAACUUGCGUUAGCAUUUGAAACUGCAUAACUUGAGUGCAGGAGAGGUAAGCGGAAUUCCUAGUGUAGCGGUGAAAUGCGUAGAUAUUAGGAGGAACACCGGUGGCGAAGGCGGCUUACUGGACUGCAACUGACGCUGAGUCACGAAAGCGUGGGUAGCAAACAGGAUUAGAUACCCUGGUAGUCCACGCUGUAAACGAUGAGUGCUAGGUGUUGGGUAGCGAUACUCAGUGCCGCAGUAAAC